rnacentral:misc_RNA from 1 species
CUGAUUUCCAGUAUAGCUUGC